ACGCUAGCUACAGGCUUAACACAUGCAAGUCGAGGGGAAACGGCAUUGAGUGCUUGCACUCUUUGGACGUCGACCGGCGCACGGGUGAGUAACGCGUAUCCAACCUUCCCAUUACUGUGGGAUAACCUGCCGAAAGGCAGACUAAUACCGCAUAGUCUUCGAUGACGGCAUCAGAUUUGAAGUAAAGAUUUAUCGGUAAUGGAUGGGGAUGCGUCUGAUUAGCUUGUUGGCGGGGUAACGGCCCACCAAGGCGACGAUCAGUAGGGGUUCUGAGAGGAAGGUCCCCCACAUUGGAACUGAGACACGGUCCAAACUCCUACGGGAGGCAGCAGUGAGGAAUAUUGGUCAAUGGACGGAAGUCUGAACCAGCCAAGUAGCGUGCAGGAUGACGGCCCUAUGGGUUGUAAACUGCUUUUGUAUGGGGAUAAAGUUAGGGACGUGUCCCUAUUUGCAGGUACCAUACGAAUAAGGACCGGCUAAUUCCGUGCCAGCAGCCGCGGUAAUACGGAAGGUCCAGGCGUUAUCCGGAUUUAUUGGGUUUAAAGGGAGCGUAGGCUGGAGAUUAAGUGUGUUGUGAAAUGUAGACGCUCAACGUCUGAAUUGCAGCGCAUACUGGUUUCCUUGAGUACGCACAACGUUGGCGGAAUUCGUCGUGUAGCGGUGAAAUGCUUAGAUAUGACGAAGAACUCCGAUUGCGAAGGCAGCUGACGGGAGCGCAACUGACGCUUAAGCUCGAAGGUGCGGGUAUCAAACAGGAUUAGAUACCCUGGUAGUCCGCACAGUAAACGAUGGAUGCCCGCUGUUGGUACCUGGUAUCAGCGGCUAAGCGAAAGCAUUAAGCAUCCCACCUGGGGAGUACGCCGGCAACGGUGAAACUCAAAGGAAUUGACGGGGGCCCGCACAAGC
rnacentral:rRNA from 1 species